rnacentral:rRNA from 1 species
UACGUAGGGUGCGAGCGUUAAUCGGAAUUACUGGGCGUAAAGCGUGCGCAGGCGGUUUUAUAAGCCAGAUGUGAAAGCCCCGGGCUCAACCUGGGAAUGGCAUUUGGGACUGUAAGGCUGGAGUAUGGCAGAGGGGACUAGAAUUCCUGGUGUAGCAGUGAAAUGCGCAGAUAUCAGGAAGAACACCCGUGGCGAAGGCGGCUCUCUGGGACGGUACUGACGCUGAGACGCGAAAGCGUGGGGAGCGAACAGG